ensembl:lncRNA
GUUUCAGCCCAGUCAGUCAGUCAGUCAGUUUCAGCCCAGUCAGUCAGUCAGUUUCAGCCCAGUCAGUCAGUCAGUUUCAGCCCAGUCAGUCAGUCAGUCAGUUUCAGCCCAGUCAGUCAGUCAGCCAGUUUCUGCCUAGUCAGUCAGUCAGUCAGUUUCAGCCCAGUCAGUCAGUCAGUCAGUUUCAGCCCAGUCAGUCAGUCAGUCAGUUUCAGCCCAGUCAGUCAGUCAGCCAGUUUCUGCCCAGUCAGUCAGUCAGUUUCAGCCCAGUCAUCAGUCAGUCAGUCAGUUUCAGCCCAGUCAGUCAGUCAGUUUCAGCCAGUCAGUUUCAGCCCAGUCACCCAGUCAGUCAGUCAGUUUCAGCCCAGUCAUCAGUCAGUCAGUCAGUUUCAGCCCAAUCAGUCAGUCAGUUUCAGCCAGUCAGUUUCAGCCCAGUCAGUCAGUCAGUCAGUCAGUUUUCAACCAGUCAGUCAGUCAAUCCGUUUCAGCCCAGUCAGUCAGUCAGUCCGUUAGUUUCUGCCCAGUCAGUCAGUCAGUCCGUUAUUUUCAGCCCAUCAGUCAGCCAGUUUCUUCCCAGUCAGUCAGUCAGUUUCAGCCCAGUCAGUCAGUCAGU